rfam:Schistosoma haematobium scaffold733_17, whole genome shotgun sequence.
AUUCAUCUGACGAGUCCCAAAUAGGACGAAACGCGAGUCGGUGAU